GCUCCGCGGGCAGCAUGGGCGGCUGUGGGCUCCUCUGGGGCUCGGUGGCGGCGCGCUUCUGCCGCGCCCCAGCGGCCUUCGCCGUGAGCCGGCGCCCGCUGCUCACCAGUCCGCCGAGCCGAGCUUUCGCCAAGGAGCUCUUCCUGGGCAAGAUCCAGAAGAAAGAAGCUUUCCCGUUUCCAGAGAUUAGCCGAGAUGAACUUAAUGAGAUUAAUCAGUUUGUGGGACCUGUAGAGAAAUUCUUCACCGAAGAAGUGGACUCUCGAAAAAUUGACCAGGAGGGAAAAAUCCCAGAUGAAACUUUAGAGAAACUGAAGUCCCUGGGGCUUUUUGGAAUGCAAGUCCCAGAAGAAUAUGGUGGCCUGGGCCUCUCCAACACCAUGUACGCGCGGCUGGGGGAGGUCAUCGGCCUGGACGCCUCCAUCGCUGUGACUCUGGCGGCUCACCAGGCCAUCGGCCUCAAGGGGAUCAUCUUGGCCGGCAGCAAGGAGCAGAAGGCCAGGUACCUGCCCAGGCUGGCGUCCGGGGAGCACGUGGCCGCCUUCUGCCUGACGGAGCCAGCCAGUGGGAGUGAUGCCGCCUCCAUCCGGACCAGGGCCACGCUGAGCGCAGAUAAGAGGCACUACGUCCUCAACGGCUCCAAGGUCUGGAUCACCAAUGGGGGACUGGCCAGCAUCUUUACUGUGUUCGCGAAGACGGAGGUCGUUGAUUCCGACGGCUCCGUGAAGGACAAGAUCACAGCGUUCAUAGUAGAGAGAGACUUUGGUGGCGUCACCAACGGGAAACCCGAGGAUAAGAUGGGCAUCCGAGGCUCCAACAGUAAUUCACGUGGCAGAAUUUGCUGUCUCCCGCAUGCUCGCUGUGGUGAUUUUCAAGAUGGUCACUGGGCUCAGCGCCCGACUCUGGGUCUGACUUCAGGACGUUGCCGUCACCCCAGAAAGCAGCGCCAUGCCUUCCCCUCCCCGCGCCAGCCCCGCUGCCACUGCUGUAGCGUCUGCUUCUGUGGACCUGCCUGCUGGGGCGUUCCGUUGCGUGCAAUCUGCGUCGGGAUUCUCUCACGCUCUGUAGCCGAGUCCCAGAGGUGUCGGGUGAACGGACCACAUCGUGUUCACCUGUCAUCAGCUGGGGACGCCUGGGUGGCCAUGAACAUCCUCAACAGCGGGCGCUUCAGCAUGGGCAGCACGGUGGCCGGGAUGCUCAAGAAGCUGAUCGGAAUGGCCGCCGAGUACGCCUGCACAAGGAAACAGUUCAACAGGAGCCUCAGUGAGUUCGGCCUGAUUCAGGAGAAGUUUGCCCUGAUGGCGCAGAAGGCCUACGUGAUGGAAAGCAUGGCCUACCUCACGGCGGCGAUGCUGGACGCGCCUGGCUUCCCCGACUGCUCCAUCGAGACCGCCAUGGUGAAGGUGUUCAGCUCCGAGGGCGCCUGGACGUGCGUGAGCGAGGCGCUGCAGGUGUUCGGCGGCUCAGGCUACGUCAGGGACCACCCUUACGAGCGCUUCCUGCGCGACAGCCGCAUCCUGCUCAUCUUCGAGGGAACCAAUGAGAUCCUCCGCAUGUACAUCGCCCUGACAGGCCUGCAGCACGCCGGCCGCAUCCUGACUGCAAGGGUCAAGGAGCUCAAACGGGGCAACGUGACCACCAUCAUGGAGACCAUCGGCCAGAGGCUUCGGGACUCCCUGGGCCGCACCGUGGACUUGGGACUGACUGGGAAGCUUGGAGUUGUGCACCCCAGCCUUGCGGAUGGUGCCCACAAGCUCGAGGAAAACGUGUACUACUUCGGCCGCUCUGUGGAGAGCCUGCUGCUGCGCUUUGGCAAGACCAUCGUGGAGGAGCAGCUGGUCUUGAAGCGAGUCGCCAACGUGCUCAUCAACCUGUACGCGAUGACGGCCGUGCUGUCCCGGGCCAGCCGCUCCAUCCGCCUGGGGCUGCGGGACCACGACCACGAGGUUCUGUUGGCAAACAUCUUCUGCUCAGAAGCUUAUCACCAGAAUCUCUUCACCCUGUCUCAGCUAGACAAACGUGAGUGGGUGCUAGGCUUGGGGGGUGGGGGGACCCGGCAUCUGCUGGGCAGCGGAGGGGACGACACGCGCGCCAGGCACCAUGGGCACGGAUGCCGAGGUCGCGUGCACUGUGGGAAGAGGCCUGAGCCCCCGGGGCCCCUCCCCGCGCUCCUUGAGCCCAGAGGCCCCUCCCCGCACGGCGCUGCUGCCUUCAGGGCCCCUCCAUAGGGCGAGCUGCCCUUGUCAGAGAGAGCGCUCCAGUGGCGUCCCUCCUGUCUCCUGCGUAGAUUCUCCAGAAAACCUGGAUGAGCUGGUCAAGAAGGUGUCCCAGCAGAUCCUCGAGAAGCGGGCCUACAUCUGCACCCACCCCCUAGACCGGGCGUCCUGAAGAGGGCCCGUGUCCUCACGGCCGCCGCCCCAGACACACCCACAGCGGCCCGAAGGUACAGAACUUGGUUUAUUACAAACUGACCAUUUCUCUUCUUCACCUGACGGGCCUUUCCUGGGCCCCCGACCUGUGGGCACCGCUGCUAGACGCGAUCUUGGCCUGUGAGUGGAUGUGGGGUGAGCACGGAGCUGCUGAGACUCCCCGGCUCGGGGGGCACUCGGAGGAGGCUGGUGGGCACAUGUCCCAGCGCGGUGCAUACAUCUGCGAGGCCGCACGCUCUCCAAGAAACAGCUCGAAAACUGCAUGCGUGUCGUUGGUUUUAAUUUGGAACGAAAGGCGCUUAGAACAUGUACCAGGAAACGUUCAGCACAGCUUGUCUGCCCUUCGAGUGUGGGCAGUCUAGACCCACAUCUCCUCUCAGCCAGCCUUGAGUGGACAGAGCUUGAUCCUCAGGCCUGCUGUCUGGGGCUGGUUUCCAGGGCCCUUGGUCCCCAGCAUGAGGGCUGUGCGCCUCGGCGCUGGGCUUGCUUGGGUGACAGCAGGGCUGUUCUGGAGCCCCUCGGCCUCUCCUUGAGCACAGCACUGUCUCCCCCGGCUCGAGCUGGCCUGGGUCCGGGCCCCUGUCUCCUCCUUGCUGACAUCCUUGUUCCGCAUGCUCACCUGGCAGGCUUCAGGCUCUGGUCUGGCCCCUGGGUGGUUUGUCCAGAAAGCUCACCCUCCACAUUGCCUUGAGGCAUCCAGGCUUUCCUGCUCGGGUGGGGCCGAGCGAGCGCCCAGAACCCUGACAGCCUCUCUCCCAAAGGUCCUACCUGGGGCUUCGUGGGGAAGUCGUUUCCAAAG
rnacentral:lncRNA from 1 species